UAUUGUCGUACUUUAAAACAGUGCAAGCUGUGAAAAUUUGGAACUUUCUUGUCAGUUACAACAGAGACAUUAAAGGCCUAAUAUAAACCUCUCCCGUUCAUCACUGUGUGUCUAAUAACGAUAGGCCACAACGCAAAUUGGUAGAAAAUUCUCUCCGAUGACGCACUGAAUACAAACGUUACGCUCCGGAACAGCUGAGAAACUCACAUUCAUGACACAUAUGACUUCAGGAAAAAAAAUUCUUGAAGUACUGACAUGAAGUCACCAGACAGCCUGUAGAAAUAUUAUUCAAAAAGAUCGAAGACCCGUACACUGACAUUAAUUCCAGACUGUGUCAUAAAACUACCGUCGACUUCCUUCUGAUAGUGAAAUCUAAAGUUUCGAAGACUGGGAUCAAGAAAGUACACUGCUUAGACGCCUUGUUUGUUUCUCCUUUCCCUUUAGAAAGUAAAAUAAUUCUUCAGAUAUAGCGUCGAAACUUGAGUGAACUGUUCAACCAACGUCCCACGAUCCUCUACCCGCAUUACCAUAAGAUUAAAAAUACAUUAAUGGUCUGGAAGAUAAUUCAUUCAAAAGUAUUAAUUUGUAAAUAUUUAUUUGCUGCAGAAGUAUUCAUACAUAUUAAACACACUUAAAAUGCUGAGAAUGUAUAUUUUAAAUAUUAAAUUCCAAUGUAAGUCAUGAAACUAUUAUUAGUUCAGGAAACAAAACAACGUAUAAUUUACAUGGCUUGAUUUUGCUUAAUGUCUUUAGUUAAUACGAUACACUCCUUUGAUUGGGUAUGUGCAUAGUGUAACGUAGGUUUCUGAGAUGGAUCAAACAGCAAUGCCGCAUGUACCUUAUAUUACAAAAUGCAAGCUACACUGCCUUUAAUGCAUGGAAAUAUCAUUACUGAUUGGUUGAUGUUCAAUCUCACACGAAAAAACUAGUUGCAAACAUUGCGUAUUGCCAGCUUUUUGUAAUUUCUGCCACAAGUUCAUUCCGUUCGAGGAAUUUCUUCAGACACCAUGCACAGCGUUGUAAGAAACUCAUUUAGGAGAGUUCGUUUUCAGUGACAUUGCCUUCAGUUACUUAAGUUCAAACUUUACAUAAUGAAGUUUGCCUCUCAAGCCCAAAAUCAGCUGACUGGAAAUGUCUUGAAUGGCAUCUUUUUUUUAUUAAAUUUUAUUACCUCUGUCAUACUACAAAAAGCAACUAUAUAAUUCUUUUACUGCACUUCAACAAUUCGUUUGUUCACAACAAAUAACAGGUUAUAGAAAUACCAAGUGGCAACUCUAUCACUGUGCUGAUAAAAUAAUCAGCGGGCAUCCGAUAAAUUUGUAUUUAACAUGAAUUUGUGGGCAAGAAAUGCAAAAUAUGAACUUGUUCUAACGGAACAAUCAACAAAAUGUAAUGCAAGUGUCAUUGCUGUUCAACAGGAAAUUCUGUCCAUCAGGUAGUCUAAAAGCAAAAAGAAAUAUUCAAAAUUUGUAGCUGAUAUUCAGAAUAGACCUCUAUCAAAGUCACGAAAAACCAACGAUAUAUCUUCGUAGCCUAAUGACACUUAUGGGUAGUCGUUCAUAAAGGAUGCUAAUGCAGGACUAAGGACACGUCCUUCCCGAAAACGGCAUGAACGAGCUGUUCAGCAUAGACUGGAACAUAGCUGGUUCUUGAAAGGAUAUGAUUUAAUCUUGUACUGAAGUUUUUGGCAACAGUCAAAUUGAAUUUCCAUGUCCCUCACACCUGAUUUAUUUGUUUAUAGACAGCACUGCACAUAUUUUGAAUUAUUUGCCAUCCAUAAUUAGUUGGAUAUUUGGACCAAGUUUGGGAGUCUGUGCAGCCAGACACGACAACCAAACUUCUCCAAUUUCAAAAUCAUGAUUUCUGUGAUAGAUAUUUAUUACAAUAAAUUUAGAAUGAUGAAUUUGUAAAGGAUUAGAAUUCUUAGCAAAUGGACAUUAAAACAUUCUAAAUAAUUUGCAGCAUUUGAACAGUACAGCUGAACUGUAACAAUCAUUGGACUCUGUCUUACAUUUCAUUUGAAAGAUGGCUAAUUGUAAAAUGAAAGACAACUCGUGUGAGAUUUUCUUGCUAGUUUAAUAUCUAGGCUAGAUCAUCAACAGAAGAGAAAAUGAAGAUCCACAAGAGCAGAAUUCAAUGUGACUUCCACUUCUAAAAGUUUCCUGUUUCUAUUACAGUGCCCUUUUGCUUUAUGGCGGACAUCUUACAAACAGAUGCUUUCCCAAAUUCUGGUGCUGUAGUGUAAGAUGGAGUUCCAGUGGUUGCGUAUAAUAUUAUUUUUGCCUGCAAUACUGAAGUGUAAAUGGUUCUAAAAUUACAGAAGAAUGAAUUUCCAAACAACUUAGGAAAAUCAGAUAGCAUAAAGUGGGGCAGGUCAGUUGUUUGUCUUGUCAGGUUCUUCCAAUUAGGUCUCAAUUAUUGUCGAUAACAUCUUGCAUCUACAGAUAUUAAAUGUUGUAUUAUUUGCAAAAAAUUUUUGUUGGUGAUUCUAUAUGAUUCAGCACCAGAAAUGGGAUAUUUGUGUGGAUUCAGAAACAACUGACUUGCACGCUAAUGCAUCAGUGGACAAUACAGUGAAACCUCCAAGGAACCAAAUCUUCCUUUAAUUAGGUGAGGUUACAGUGAACUGAACCAGACCACUUUGUGGGAAUCCACAUUUUUAAAGGAAACAAAGUAACCAGUCUAUGCCACAACUGCAAAUGCGUGUGUGAACACAGUUCCUUUGACAGUGUACGAACUGUAACUAUUUGAUCGAUUCAGUGACGGCUCAUUCAAUCAUCAGUGUGUAUAUGCAGAUAUGAACUUCUACAUUUUUGGAGUUAUGAACCACAAUUAUUUUUUCUCUGGUGUAAUUUAUGAACAAACACAAAAGGCCCAGAUGAAAGAAUAGUCUAAAACAUUUCACAUUAUAUAAAGCUCACUUGAAUCUUCACUGCCCAAUUGUUGUUUACAAAGAAAAACACAUGUUAAUUAAAACAAAAAUAUUGGUAACUAAAUAAAAAUCAUAUGAAUUAUAAAAAAUAAAUUAUCCAAAAACCAUGGUUUGAAAUGUUGUACUGGA